rnacentral:rRNA from 1 species
GAUGAACGCUGGCGGCGUGCCUAAUACAUGCGAGUCGAGCGAACGGACGAGAAGCUUGCUUUUCUGAUGUUAGCGGCGGACGGGUGAGUAACACGUGGAUAACCUACCUAUAAGACUGGGAUAACUUCGGGAAACCGGAGCUAAUACCGGAUAAUAUUUUGAACCGCAUGGUUCAAAAGUGAAAGACGGUCUUGCUGUCACUUAUAGAUGGAUCCGCGCUGCAUUAGCUAGUUGGUAAGGUAACGGCUUACCAAGGCAACGAUGCAUAGCCGACCUGAGAGGGUGAUGGCCCACACUGGGUCUGAUACCGGGUCGAGACCCCACGGGGAGGCGGGAGAGGGAAGUCUUCCGAAUGGGCGGAAGGCCGGAGGGGGCACGGCCGGGUGAGUAAGAAGUGUCUUGGAAUCUAAAACUUUUUUUAUGGGGGAAAAACAGUUGUGAAAGUACCGGGGAACUUCUUAAGGUACCUAAAUAGGAAGACCCGGGCAAACACCGCC